CCCUCCUACAAAGGCGUGUCUGUGGUUUCCUGUUCUUGGACACAUAAGAAUUGGAGGUAAAGAGAUGUGGGCUUGGAAAGUCUGGAGCCAGCUUGCUCCCUGCAGGCUCAAGAUCACCCUUUCCCACACGG
ensembl:snoRNA